GACGAACGUUGGCGGUGCGCUUUAUACAUGCAAGUCGUGCGCGAAAGGCCCCUUCGGGGGCCGAGUAGAGCGGCGGACGGGUGCGUAACACGUGAGCAACCUGCCCUGGAGUGGGGAAUAACUCCGAGAAAUCGGGGCUAAUACCGCAUGAUGUCGCAGCUCCGCAUGAAGCUGCGCUUAAAGUCGGCCUCUGCUUGCAAGCUGGCGCUCCAGGAUGGGCUCGCGGCCUAUUAGCUAGUUGGCGGGGUAAUGG
rnacentral:rRNA from 1 species